rnacentral:rRNA from 1 species
CGCCCGACAUGGGGAUUGCGCACCGCUGCCUCUCGUGGGCGGCGCUCUGGGCUUUCCCUGGGCCAGCAUCGGUUCUUGCUGCAGGAGAAGGGGUUCUGGAACGUGGCUCUUCGGAGUGUUAUAGCCAGGGCCAGAUGCUGCGUGCGGGGACCGAGGACUGCGGCCGUGUAGGUCACGGAUGCUGGCAGAACGGCGCAACACCGCCCGUCUUGA